GAUCGCAGCGAGGGAGCUGCUCUGCUACGCAUGAAACCCUGACCUAGAAUCAGGUAGUCUACGAAUGAUUUAGCACCGGGUUCCCCACGAACAUGCGGUGCGCAACGGGUGAGAGGCGGCCCUCUUCACAAAGUCUUGUGUCAAAGGCUGACUUUCAAUAGAUCGCAGCGAGGGAGCUGCUCUGCUACGCACGAAACCCUGACCCAGAAUCAGGUCGUCUAUGAAUGAUUUAGCACCGGGUUCCCCACGAACA